GAUGAACGCUGGCGGCGUGCCUAAUACAUGCAAGUCGAGCGAACAGACGAGGAGCUUGCUCCUCUGACGUUAGCGGCGGACGGGUGAGUAACACGUGGAUAACCUACCUAUAAGACUGGGAUAACUUCGGGAAACCGGAGCUAAUACCGGAUAAUAUAUUGAACCGCAUGGUUCAAUAGUGAAAGACGGUUUUGCUGUCACUUAUAGAUGGAUCCGCGCCGCAUUAGCUAGUUGGUAAGGUAACGGCUUACCAAGGCGACGAUGCGUAGCCGACCUGAGAGGGUGGUCGGCCACACUGGAACUGAGACACGGUCCAGAAUUCUACGGGAGGCAGCAGUAGGGAAUCUUCCGCAAUGGGCGAAAGCCUUGCGGAGCAACGACGCGGGAGGGAUGAAGGUCUUCGGAUCGUAAAACUCUGUUAUUAGGGAAGAAAAAAUGUGUAAGUAACUAUGCACGUCUUGACGGUACCUAAUCAGAAAGCCACGGCUAACUACGUGC
rnacentral:rRNA from 1 species